GGUAGUUGAGGUGGCGUAGUCUCCAGGGCUCCAGCUCCCACGGCUGCUCACAGUCUGGCUGCUGGUGCUGCACGCUGUACUUUCUCCCUAAAAAUGAGCAAUUAAGCAUGCAAUCAGAGAGAAGAACAAUGGUGUCAUCAUUACCUGAGCCUUGGUUUUGUAUGGAGAGGUUUGAAGAUCGUUGGUAGUUUCCCAUUGCAGCCAGGGAAGGGCAACGCCAUCUGCCUCAGCAGGUGAACCUACUUUUGGGAGAGCCACUGGAGUUUCUAUCAUAGCAUGAUGUAACACAUCCUUCUUGGUUGAACUUGUGUCACUUCUUUCUCCAUCAAAAGAUGAAAAGUCAGUGUCUUCAACGUUUGACAGGAAAUCUUCAAAGUAUUGCUCAGCCUCUUCAGUAAGUCGUUUUGACAUCUUUGAUCUAUCAUUGCUCCUCUGGAAGACAUUUACAUGAAGUUUCUUAUUUGUACGUGUACAAUAAUGACUGGAAACAAUUGAAAAGGCAA